rnacentral:rRNA from 1 species
GACGAACGCUGGCGGCGUGCUUAACACAUGCAAGUCGAACGGAAAGGCCCUGCUUUUGUGGGGUGCUCGAGUGGCGAACGGGUGAGUAACACGUGAGUAACCUGCCCUUGACUUUGGGAUAACUUCAGGCAACUGGGGCUAAUACCGGAUAGGAGCUCCUGCUGCAUGGUGGGGGUUGGAAAGUUUCGGCGGUUGGGGAUGGACUCGCGGCUUAUCAGCUUGUUGGUGGGGUAGUGGCUUACCAAGGCUUUGACGGGUAGCCCGCCUGAGAGGGGGACCGGCGACAAUGGGACUGAGAUACGGCCCAGACUCCUACGGGAGGCAGCAGUGGGGAAUAGUGCACAAUGGGCGGAAGCCUGAUGCAGCAACGCAGCGUGCGGGAUGACGGCCUUCGGGUUGUAAACCGCUGUCGCCUGUGACGAAGCGUGAGUGACGGUAAUGGGUAAAGAAGCACCGGCUAACUACGUG